CAAAGUUUUAAUUUUUUUUUCGUUUAUCUUCUUCUCCUUCAGUUUUUUUCCUCCAAGUUCAUAUCGACACUGCUUCAUCUUCUCACAGUCCACCAUCACCAUCUCCACCAGCAUCAAUCUCCACCACCAUCACCAUCCACAAUUAGUAUUGAUUGAGGAACAUAGUGAACUAAUUUGUUCAAUUUCAGUGUGUUCCGUCGAUUAUUCCCUCCUUUCUCCAUUCUCGAUCUUUCUCCUCUCCAUCGAACUCUUCUUCCUUCGAGAAUUUAUCAUCUUCAUCAAGUAACAGUACUGAUUCCAGGCAAACCAACACAAAAUUUAAACCUAAAUUUCGUUAUUACGAUCUCAGUCAAACUUAACCCUAAAUUUCUGCUGAAGUUUUGGAAAAUUGGGAAUGUUUGGGACGAAGAACUUGAGAAGUGAAUGAAGGGAGUUUUCGCAACGAAGCAGUGAAUGAAAAUUUGAAAGAGAAAUUGAUAGAUCUGAUAUGAGUUAUGAUUCUUCUAGAGCAUGUGGUGUAAGGAGAUGGAAGAAAAAACAACUUAAAGUCAAUAGUCAAAAGCCAUUCAACCUUAGAACUGAGCAAAGAGGGAAACAUAAAGAAGAGGUAUUCGUAAAGAAAGUACAAGAAAUGUUUACAGAAGAGGAGAAGCAACGUAUACCCGUUGCGCAAGGCCUUCCAUGGACAACAAACGAACCAGAGCAAAAUAGACCUCUAAAUGCUCAAAAUGUUGCUGAUGCUUAGCAAAAGACUACAACAGGAUUUAGAAGAAAAAAAUAGAGCAACCGGCGAGGUUGAAGGAGGUAAGAGCCUUUCAUUGUCUAUAGUUUUCCAUUCUCUACUCAGCAGUGUAUCUGUAUAUAAGGGUGUUUGCUUUCUGCCAUCUAUUUUAUUCUCCAUAAAAAUCAAGAUAAGGACAUGAUAUGAGGUUGCUAUUGUAGAUUUUGUGUCACUGUUAGCUCUCUUAUUGCAGAAAUUUGAGCAGUGCAAUCAAUUUAAUCCUUGAAAAAAUACAUGCAAAACAAUCCAAGCUAGGAACUGUGGUAAGCCAUUUUUAGGUAGUAUGACAAAUGAAGAGAUUCCAAAACCCAGAUGGGUAUGUAUGACAUAGAACACUUAGGAAUUUCCUUGUGUUUUCUUAAGUUGAAGCAAUGGAAAAAAACUUGACAAAUUGCGAGAUGGAGUCACUUUGGUGACCAGUAGACAGAAACGCCAUUGAAGAACUUUAUUUGGAGAAAAUUAGUCAUUGGAGAAAGCCUAAAAAGAUAUUUGGGACACUAUUACUGAGAACUCACCGUACGAUUUAAAAGAAUUCAAGGAGGAACUUGGAAUUGAAUACGACGAAGAUGUUGGUGUAAGCUUGCAGUCGUGAGUGAGUUAAUGCCUCAAAAUAAGAAGCGAGGAAGAGGUCAGUAAAACUUGGAAUUGAAAUGAUGAAGAUGUUGGUGUAAGCUUCCAGUUGUUAGGAAGGUGAAGCCAACUGUAAAUGUAGGGUGCAAACAAUAGGGAGCUUUUGCUUUUGUUACAAAAAUCAGAGUUCACUUUUUCGAUUUACCUCAUACAAGGCACUUAAGUAAUUCACUCUGAGCAUCAUUUGGACUAGCAGGGGACAGAUACUAGGCACCAUAAACAACCCAUCAGGUGUUGUUUAUGGUGGCUCCAGACCCAUCUGAUCUCUACCAUUGUUCUGGAGUUACAGGGGACAAAACCAAGACUUAAUUUUGCUGGGAGGUUGAACUACAGUUGCCAGUGCUAUCCUCUGACUCUAAAGUGGCUUUAACCUAUCCUAGAAGACAUUAGGAGACUGUAAUUUAUUGGUGUGCAUUACCUAUGGGGUAACAUCAUCAAGUUGUUGCUUCAAUUUAAGAGUUUUAAUAUUUAUUUGAGUUUUCUUGUGAAUUUUUUGAGAACGUUGUUUGAUCUUUGAGAACCUAAUUUUUUUU